UGAUUACAAUGCCCGAAUGCUAUGCCUAUAUAUGUAGGCAACACCCGUAUCCUACUAGACGAAGAUAAUAACUUCUAAUAUAUAUCUCUAAACCUAAUCAAAUAAGAAAUAAUCAAAUAAUCUGACUAAAAGUAGGAAAAUAUAGAAAUUUUCAAAAAUAACCUAAAAAUGCAAAAACGGAGGCCGAAACAAUUGAAUUUGGGUCCCAAACUCAGCUGGAAUGGCUUUACUAUUCAACGCGUAGACCUCGAAAAAUAUUUUCCGAAUUGGGGUCGAAUGUUGAAAUCAGAUACUCGAGCGAAAAUUUAUGGCCGUUUAAAGAUUUCUGGCACCCAUUGUAAAAAUUACCCGAACUCUACGGAAUUUUUAAGUCAACUUGGUUGAAUCGCGUUU
rnacentral:lncRNA from 1 species